GAUGAAGAACGCAGCGAAAUGCGAUAAGUAAUGUGAAUUGCAGAAUUCAGUGAAUCAUCGAAUCUUUGAACGCACCUUGCGCUCCUUGGUAUUCCGAGGAGCAUGCCUGUUUGAGUGUCAUGAAAUUCUCAACCUUUUCAGCUUUCUUUGUUGAUCAGGCUUGGAUGUGGGAGUAUGCGGGCUUCUCAGAAGUCGGCUCUCCUGAAAUGCAUUAGCGGGACCUUUGUUGCCUGGCUUUGGUGUGAUAAUUAUCUACGCCAUUGUAGUCAAGCAGCUUAAAAUGAGGUUUCAGCUUCUAACCGUCUCCCCUGAGACAACUUUUUGACAAUUUGACCUCAAAUCAGGUAGGACUACCCGCUGAACUUAAGAAUAUCAAUAAGCGGAGGA
rnacentral:misc_RNA from 1 species